AGUGAACGCUGGCGGUAGGCCUAACACAUGCAAGUCGAACGGCAGCACAGUAAGAGCUUGCUCUUACGGGUGGCGAGUGGCGGACGGGUGAGGAAUACAUCGGAAUCUACUUUUUCGUGGGGGAUAACGUAGGGAAACUUACGCUAAUACCGCAUACGACCUACGGGUGAAAGCAGGGGAUCUUCGGACCUUGCGCGAUUGAAUGAGCCGAUGUCGGAUUAGCUAGUUGGCGGGGUAAAGGCCCACCAAGGCGACGAUCCGUAGCUGGUCUGAGAGGAUGAUCAGCCACACUGGAACUUAGACACGGUCCAGACGCCUACGAGAGGCAGCAGUGGGGAAUAUUGGACAAUGGGCGCAAGCCUGAUCCAGCCAUACCGCGUGGGUGAAGAAGGCCUUCGGGUUGUAAAGCCCUUUUGUUGGGAAAGAAAAGCAGCAGGUUAAUACCCCGCUGUUCUGACGGUACCCAAAGAAUAAGCACCGGCUAACUUCGUG
rnacentral:rRNA from 1 species